rnacentral:rRNA from 1 species
CGUGUGGGCAACCUGCCCUGUACUGGGGAAUAAUCAUUGGAAACGAUGACUAAUACCGCAUGUGGUCCUCGGAAGGCAUCUUCUGAGGAAGAAAGGAUUUAUUCGGUACAGGAUGGGCCCGCAUCUGAUUAGCUAGUUGGUGAGAUAACAGCCCACCAAGGCGACGAUCAGUAGCCGACCUGAGAGGGUGAUCGGCCACAUUGGGACUGAGACACGGCCAA